GCCCGUCAGACGUAGGGAGCGACGUGCCGGUCUUGUAAGCCGGACGAGGCCGGUGCGACUCCGGCGGCGGGCU
rnacentral:tRNA from 1 species